rfam:Cronobacter sp. DJ34 Bact_A5_14, whole genome shotgun sequence.
CCCAGAGGUAUUGAUAGGUGGUGUCAGUUAACUACUGACCACAAGCAUUACACCAACCUGCGCGGAUGCGCAGGUUUUUUUU